CCAUUCCGAACACGAAGGUUAAGCUUUUAGAGGCUGAUGGUACUGCAUGGGAGACUGUGUGGGAGAGUAAGUGGUUGCCAGGU
rnacentral:rRNA from 1 species